rnacentral:rRNA from 1 species
AACGGGUGAGUAACGCGUGAGUAACUUGCCCUAGAGUGGGGGACAACAGUUGGAAACGACUGCUAAUACCGCAUAAGCCCACGGUACCGCAUGGCACUGAGGGAAAAGGAUUUAUUCGCUUUAGGAUGGACUCGCGUCCAAUUAGCUAGUUGGUGAGGUAACGGCCCACCAAGGCGACGAUUGGUAGCCGGACUGAGAGGUUGAACGGCCACAUUGGGACUGAGACACGGCCCAGACUCCUACGGGAGGCAGCAGUGGGGGAUAUUGCACAAUGGGGGAAACCCUGAUGCAGCGACGCCGCGUGGAGGAAGAAGGUUUUCGGAUUGUAAACUCCUGUCGUUAGGGACGAUAAUGACGGUACCUAACAAGAAAGCACCGGCUAACUACGUGCCAGCAGCCGCGGUAAAACGUAGGGUGCAAGCGUUGUCCGGAAUUACUGGGUGUAAAGGGAGCGCAGGCGGGAAGACAAGUUGGAAGUGAAAACCAUGGGCUCAACCCAUGAAUUGCUUUCAAAACUGUUUUUCUUGAGUAGUGCAGAGGUAGAUGGAAUUCCCGGUGUAGCGGUGGAAUGCGUAGAUAUCGGGAGGAACACCAGUGGCGAAGGCGGUCUACUGGGCACCAACUGACGCUGAGGCUCGAAAGCAUGGGUAGCAAACAGGAUUAGAUACCCUGGUAGUCCAUGCCGUAAACGAUGAUUACUAGGUGUUGGGGGAUUGACCCCCUCAGUGCCCGCAGUUAACACA